AUUGAACGCUGGCGGCAGGCUUAACACAUGCAAGUCGAGCGAGCGGCGGACGGGUGAGUAAUGUCUGGGAAACUGCCUGAUGGAGGGGGAUAACCACUGGAAACGGUAGCCAAUACCGCAUACCAUCAGAUGUGCCCAGUAGGGAUUAGCUAGUGGGGGGGGUAAUGGCUCACCAGGGCGACGAUCCCUAGCGGGUCUGAGAGGAUGACAAGCCACACUGGUACGGAGACACGGUCCAGACUCCUACGGGAGGCAGCAGUGGGGAAUAUUGGACAAUGGGCGCAAGCCUGAUGCAGCCAUGCCGCGUGUGUGAAGAAGGCCUUCGGGUUGUAAAGCACUUUCAUCGGGGAGGCGUUACUCGCAGAAGAAGCACCGGCUAACUCCGUGCCAGCAGCCGCGGUAAUAC
rnacentral:rRNA from 1 species